rnacentral:rRNA from 1 species
GAGUUUGAUCCUGGCUCAGGACGAACGCUGGCGGCGUGCUUAACACAUGCAAGUCGAACGAUGAAGCCUAGCUUGCUAGGUGGAUUAGUGGCGAACGGGUGAGUAAUACGUGAGUAACCUGCCUUUAACUCUGGGAUAAGCCUUGGAAACGAGGUCUAAUACCGGAUACGACCAGUUCCCGCAUGGGAUGCUGGUGGAAAGGGAUAUGUACUGGUUUUAGAUGGGCUCACGGCCUAUCAGCUUGUUGGUGAGGUAAUGGCUCACCAAGGCGACGACGGGUAGCCGGCCUGAGAGGGUGACCGGCCACACUGGGACUGAGACACGGCCCAGACUCCUACGGGAGGCAGCAGUGGGGAAUAUUGCACAAUGGGCGCAAGCCUGAUGCAGCGACGCCGCGUGAGGGAUGACGGCCUUCGGGUUGUAAACCUCUUUCAGCAGGGAAGAAGCGAAAGUGACGGUACCUGCAGAAGAAGCGCCGGCUAACUACGUGCCAGCAGCCGCGGUAAUACGUAGGGCGCGAGCGUUGUCCGGAAUUAUUGGGCGUAAAGAGCUUGUAGGCGGUUUGUCACGUCUGCUGUGAAAGCCCGGGGCUUAACUCCGGGUCUGCAGUGGGUACGGGCUAACUAGAGUGCAGUAGGGGAGACUGGAAUUCCUGGUGUAGCGGUGAAAUGCGUAGA